rnacentral:rRNA from 1 species
ACGCUGGCGGCACGCCUAACACAUGCAAGUCGAACGCAGUAGCAAUACUGAGUGGCAAACGGGUGAGUAUAAUGUGGGAAUCUGCCUUUUGGUUUGGAAUAACACGGGGAAACUUGUGCUAAUACCGAAUAAGCCCUUACGGGGAAAGUUUUAAUGCCGAAAGAUGAGCCCGCACUUGAUUAGCUAGUUGGUAAGGUAAAAGCUUACCAAGGCAACGAUCAAUAGCUGUUCUUAGAGGAAGACCAGCCACAUUGGGACUGAGACACGGCCCAGACUCCUACGGGAGGCAGCANUGGGGAAUCUUGCACAAUGGGGGAAACCCUGAUGCAGCGAUGCCGCGUGAGUGAAGAAGGCCUUUGGGUUGUAAAACUCUUUCGUCGGGGAAGAAAAUGACUGUACCCGAAUAAGAAAGUCCGGCUAACUUCGUGCCAGCAGCCGCGGUAAUACGAAGGGACCUAGCGUAGUUCGGAAUUACUGNGCUUAAAGAGCUCGUAGGGUGGUUAAAAAAGUUUNAUGGGUGAAAUCCCANGGCUCAACCUUGGGA